rnacentral:ncRNA from 18 species
UCAAUUUUCGUUUACCGAGCUUGUGUGCCUAAGUUCUUCCGGUUAUCCGGCGCGGAAUAAGGCAGCAACGCCAGCGAUGCGGUUUAUCGCUCAGGGAUCCGUUGGAAACAGUUGGUCCUACCGAUUUUUGUAAAGGUAUUCAAUGCAAUCUAUU